CUGCUCUGAAUCCACUGUGGAGUUGGUGCAGUGGCUGCUCUGUGCUUCCUGCAUGAAUCACUGAUUCUGCUCUUUUUUCCAUUUCUUGGAUAAAGAUGUGGAAGGAAAUCAGUGAAGGAGAACCAUGAAGGGGUGAAAUGUCAAAGGUAAUGCAGGAAAGAAGCAUAAAUGGGCUAGAACAGUAAAAUGCCUGGAGAAUAAACUGCAUGGUAGAGCAGUGGAAGGAGACAAAAAUGGGGAAUCAUCUAGAACAGCAGAAUUUUAUAGCAAAGCCAGCAUUCCUCCCAUUAAAAUGCCAUUGGGGGGAUUUCUGUAUGCAGGGAGCACCUCAGAACUGACUGCCCUCUUCCAACUCAUACAAGAAGUUGGUGAUAAGUUUGACAGUGCAACCCAAAUCAUCUUAUUCAGCAUGUGGUUCAGCUUCUGUCUUUCACUUAUACCUGACAGGUGGAGAAUAAAAGAAUGAUUUACUUAGAAAUAAAUAAGUCCUGUUUUCUGAGAUGUUUAUCCUGAUAGCACUAGAGAUUUACAUGGAAGUGUUAAGCAUGGGAUCAGAUUAAAAGCUAUCAUGUAACAGUAUGGGGUUUUUGCAUGGAUAUUGGUAUAACUUUUGAGUCUGCAUGUAAGCACAGUGCUACAUGUGCCUGAAGGAUAAAGUAGUAGCAGAGGAGAAAUUCCCUGGAUUCACUAGCCAUUUUCUCUGGGAAAUACCUGGCACAUUAGGAGAGGAGCUCAAUCACUGAUUUAAAUAUGAGGCAGGUAUGAUUUCAUGAGAUCACCAUGGCCAUGGGGCUUUCUUUGUCUUGCUUCAUGCUCUGGUUUAGUUUGAAGUAAGGGUGGGGGUAUUCAUAAGUGGUCAGACGCCUUGGAGAUAAAAGCACUGGGACAGUUGGUCUGUGUUAGACCAACAUCAUCAUCAGAUGUGAGGUCUGGUGCUUGAAUGCCAGAGAGGCAUAAAAUAGCUUGGUUUGGACGAGACCUUA